rnacentral:rRNA from 1 species
CCUACGGGAGGCAGCAGUGGGGAAUAUUGGACAAUGGGGGGAACCCUGAUCCAGCCAUGCCGCGUGUGUGAAGAAGGCCCUCGGGUUGUAAAGCACUUUCAGUGAGGAAGAACGCCUGGUGGUUAAUACCCAUCAGGAAAGACAUCACUCACAGAAGAAGCACCGGCUAACUCCGUGCCAGCAGCCGCGGUAAUACGGAGGGUGCGAGCGUUAAUCGGAAUUACUGGGCGUAAAGCGCGCGUAGGUGGCUUGAUAAGCCGGUUGUGAAAGCCCGGGGCUCAACCUGGGAACGGCAUCCGGAACUGUCAAGCUAGAGUGCAGGAGAGGAAGGUAGAAUUCCCGGUGUAGCGGUGAAAUGCGUAGAGAUCGGGAGGAAUACCAGUGGCGAAGGCGGCCUUCUGGACUGACACUGACACUGAGGUGCGAAAGCGUGGGUAGCAAACAGGAUUAGAUACCCGAGUAGUC